rnacentral:rRNA from 1 species
UAGGGAAUCUUCGGCAAUGGACGGAAGUCUGACCGAGCAACGCCGCGUGAGUGAAGAAGGUUUUCGGAUCGUAAAGCUCUGUUGUUAGAGAAGAACGUUGGUAGGAGUGGAAAAUCUACCAAGUGACGGUAACUAACCAGAAAGGGACGGCUAACUACGUGCCAGCAGCCGCGGUAAUACGUAGGUCCCGAGCGUUGUCCGGAUUUAUUGGGCGUAAAGCGGGCGCAGGCGGUUCUUUAAGUCUGAAGUUAAAGGCAGUGGCUUAACCAUUGUACGCUUUGGAAACUGGAGGACUUGAGUGCAGAAGGGGAGGGUGGAAUUCCAUGUGUAGCGGUGAAAUGCGUAGAUAUAUGGAGGAACACCGGGGGCGAAAGCCGCUCUCUGGUCUGUAACAGCCGCUGAGGCUCGAAAGCGUGGGGAGCAAACAGG